rnacentral:pre_miRNA from 1 species
GGCCUCCCUCUGUGGGGCGAUCGAUCGCCAGGCCCCCAGAUCAAUUGCCCUGCAGAGGGAGGCC